rnacentral:rRNA from 1 species
UACUGAGUGAGGGCCCUCCGGGUCCAACCUCCCACCCGUGUUUAUUCGUACCUUGUUGCUUCGGCAGGCCCGCCUCACGGCCGCCGGGGGGCUUCUGCCCCCGGGCCCGCGCCUGCCGGAGACAAUUCUGAACGCUGUCUGAAGAAUGCAGUCUGAGCGAUUAGCAAAAUUAGUUAAAACUUUCAACAACGGAUCUCUUGGUUCCGGCAUCGAUGAAGAACGCAGCGAAAUGCGAUAAUUAAUGUGAAUUGCAGAAUUCAGUGAAUCAUCGAGUCUUUGAACGCACAUUGCGCCCCCUGGUAUUCCGGGGGGCAUGCCUGUCCGAGCGUCAUUGCUGCCCUCAAGCCCGGCUUGUGUGUUGGGCCCUGUUCCCCCGGGAACAGGCCCGAAAGGCAGUGGCGGCACCGCGUCCGAUCCUCGAGCGUAUGGGGCUUUGUCACCCGCUCUGUAGGCCCGGCCGGCGCCCGUCGACCCCCCAACCUUUUUUUUUCAGGUUGACCUCGGAUCAGGUAGGGAUACCCGCUGAACUUAAGCAUAUCA